GGUGGGGUAACGGCUCACCUAGGCGACGAUCCCUAGCUGGUCUGAGAGGAUGACCAGCCACACUGGAACUGAGACACGGUCCAGACUCCUACGGGAGGCAGCAGUGGGGAAUAUUGCACAAUGGGCGCAAGCCUGAUGCAGCCAUGCCGCGUGUAUGAAGAAGGCCUUCGGGUUGUAAAGUACUUUCAGCGGGGAGGAAGGGAGUAAAGUUAAUACCUUUGCUCAUUGACGUUACCCGCAGAAGAAGCACCGGCU
rnacentral:rRNA from 1 species